GGCCACGAGCCACCUUGUCCUCUGUUUUCUGGAGAGAAUGAAAAACAGAUAUUUUUUACAUUUUAAAAACUUUUUUAGGCUUACGCUGCAGUUCUUAAAAAUGCUGAGCAAACUCAGCAGCCAUUGUAUUCUCCGGAUUCAUUUUACUGCCUAAUGUUGCAUAGCUUCCUGUCACUGGUAGUGUGUUCUCAUGGUGUAACGGUGUUCUGCGGUGUUUACGGUGCACGCUUCCUGUCACUGGUAGUGUGUUGUCAUGGUGUAACGGUGUUUACAGCGCACGCUUCCUGUCCCUGGUAGUGUAUUGUCAUGGUGUAACGGUGUUCUGAGGUGUUUACGGUGCACGCUUCCUGUCCCUGGUAGUGUGUUGUCAUGGUGUAACGGUGUUCUGAGGUGUUUACGGGGCACGCUUCCUGUCACUGGUAGUGUGUUGUCAUGGUGCAACGGUGUUCUGAGGUGUUUACGGCGCACGCUUCCUGUCACUGGUAGUGUGUUGUCAUGGUGUAACGGUGUUCUGAGGUGUUUACGGCGCACGCUUCCUGUCACUGGUAGUGUGUUGUCAUGGUGUAACGGUGUUCUGAGGUGUUUACGGCGCACGCUUCCUGUCACUGGUAGUGUGUUGUCAUGGUGUAACGGUGUUCUGAGGUGUUUACGGCGCACGCUUCCUGUCACUGGUAGUGUGUUGUCAUGGUGUAACGGUGUUCUGAGGUGUUUACUGUGCACGCUUCCUGUCACUGGUAGUGUGUUGUCAUGGUGUAACGGUGUUCUGCGGUGUUUACGGUGCACGCUUCCUGUCACUGGUAGUGUGUUGUCAUGGUGUAACGCUGUUCUGCAGUGUUUACGGUGCACGCUUCCUGUCACUGUUAAUGUGUGUUCUCAUGGUGUGACGGUGUUCUGAGGUGUUUACGGUGCACGCUUCCUGUCACUGUUAAUGUGUGUUCUCAUGGUGUGACGGU